rnacentral:misc_RNA from 1 species
GUGGGUGAUAACAUAUAAGAUUAGGCCAAAAAAAAAAGAACAUACUUGGUACAUUGCUGUGAUGUGCCUGGUCCGAGGAGUGCAUUUUAGGCACGCCUUAGUGAUGGCACUCGCCUUUUGCCUUUAGAGUCGGUGAGGUUUGCUCUUGGUGCACCUUGCACCUCAAGCACACCUUGCACCUCAAGCGCACCAUUAACAACACUGAUUUCAACAA